AAGUACCAAUUCCUAUACCUCUGAAGAUGCAGUAGGUUGGACUGAGGCUGCUUAAAGAAGAGAGGCACCAUAGAAGUCAAGAUUCGGCAAGAAUGGGCAAAAUUGGUCAUUUUUAAUGUCUUUGCUCCAUUCUCGUUACACGAUAAUGAGCAAAGAGAGGCAGCUGUAAUAUCUAAUUUUGCCCCGGGCCCAAUUAAAAAAUAUAAAAACCAAAACAAAUUUAAAUGCCCAAAUUACAAUAAAAAAAUUAAAAACUAAAUACAUUAGCCCAAUAAGGCCCUACCCAAAUAGCCCAAAUAAUAAACCCCUGACCCAAUAAACAAACCCGUUACACUAUGUACAAUACAAACAGCCCAUUAAUCUGCCCCAAAC
rnacentral:lncRNA from 1 species